rnacentral:rRNA from 1 species
CCUAACACAUGCAAGUCGAACGAGAAAUCGGGCACUCAGGCAACUGAGUGCCGGAGAGUAAAGUGGCGCACGGGUGAGUAACACGUGGGUAACCUACCCCCGAAUCUGGGAUAACUUCGCGAAAGCGUUGCUAAUACCGGAUAUUGUCCUUUUGGUUGUGACCUUUGGGAUGAAAGGCAACCUCUUCAUGAAAGUUGUCGUUCAGGGAUGGGCCCGCGUACCAUUAGCUUGUUGGUGGGGUAACGGCCCACCAAGGCUACGAUGGUUAGCUGGUCUGAGAGGAUGAUCAGCCACACUGGAACUGAAACACGGUCCAGACUCCUACGGGAGGCAGCAGUGAGGAAUUUUGCGCAAUGGGGGAAACCCUGACGCAGCAACGCCGCGUGAGUGAAGAAGGCUUUCGGGUCGUAAAGCUCUGUCAAGUGGGAAAAAAGUCUGAUGAUUAAUAGUUGUCAGAUCUGGUGGUACCACUGGAGGAAGCACCGGCUAACUCCGUGCCAGCAGCCGCGGUAAUACGGAGGGUGCAAGCGUUGUUCGGAAUUACUGGGCGUAAAGGGCGUGCAGGCGGGUUGGUAAGUCAGAUGUGAAAGCCCUGGGCUCAACCCAGGAAGUGCAUUUGAAACUGCCAUCCUAGAGUAUGGGAGAGGAGAGUGGAAUUCCCAAUGUAGAGGUGGAAUUCGUAGAUAUUGGGAGGAACACCCGUGGCGAANGCGACUCUCUGGACCAAUACUGACGCUGAGACGCGAAAGCGUGGGGAGCAAACAGGAUUAGAUACCCUGGUAGUCCACGCUGUAAACGAUGAGAACUAGGUGUAGCGGGUAUUGACCCCUGCUGUGCCGAAGUUAACGCAUUAAGUUCUCCGCCUGGGGAGUACGGNCGCAAGGCUAAACUCAAANGAAUUGACGGGGGCCCGCACAAGCGGUGGAGCAUGUGGUUUAA